UUUUAUGGAGAGUUUGAUCCUGGCUCAGGAUGAACGCUGGCGGCGUGCCUAAUACAUGCAAGUCGAGCGAACGGAUGAGAAGCUUGCUUCUCUGAUGUUAGCGGCGGACGGGUGAGUAACACGUGGAUAACCUACCUAUAAGACUGGGAUAACUUCGGGAAACCGGAGCUAAUACCGGAUAAUAUUUUGAACCGCAUGGUUCAAAAGUGAAAGACGGUCUUGCUGUCACUUAUAGAUGGAUCCGCGCUGCAUUAGCUAGUUGGUAAGGUAACGGCUUACCAAGGCAACGAUGCAUAGCCGACCUGAGAGGGUGAUCGGCCACACUGGAACUGAGACACGGUCCAGACUCCUACGGGAGGCAGCAGUAGGGAAUCUUCCGCAAUGGGCGAAAGCCUGACGGAGCAACGCCGCGUG
rnacentral:rRNA from 1 species